ensembl:lincRNA
GGGGAGAGGAGCGCCUUGUCCUGGCCCCAGUGCUGGGUUUCAAGGGACAGGAUGCGACUGGGACAGGAUGAUCAAGGUCUUGUGUCAGGGUGCGAAAAGGCUGAUGUCGCUUCCACCUGGACAUUUGGCUGGACCUGGGAGACCUGGCACUUGGGAGACCUGGACCUGGGUUUCCCUGAGCUUUGGACAAAUUCACCUAAGUGUAUCUGGGAAUUGCCGACAUGGAACAGGUGAUGGGGACCCACAGGACCUGCCCCCUCCUUCCCAAGACCUGGUGCCUACCUCGCAGACGGUGCAGUGCCAGUGUGUGUCCACUCGGUCCUUGCACUCACAGCAGGUGCAGAGCAUCUGGCAGGCGGACCUGCAGGGAUGGUUUGAGUGAAGAGGGCUCAUCUCGACCAUCAGUCAGAUCACUGAGGAUGAGAGGGUCAAGGUCACCAGUGGAGGCAGGAAAUUGGGUCACAAACACACCUGUGGAAGCGAGGCUCACAGACUCAGGACCACAGUGCCGUGAGGCAGAUGGAGCUGAUGGCACCUGGCCGGCCGGAGGGAUGUGUGCACACAGGGCGCCUCACCACACCGCCCUCUCCUUUCCUGCUUCACCCAUCUCGGCUCUCUCUGAGCUCAGUGUAAUCCGCCUGACACUCACAUCCUCUGGCCUCUUCCGCCCCAGGGAAGCAGUCCUUCCAAAGCAGAACGGCGAGGCUCAGGGCCAGGGCGUGCACACAGGACCUUUUGCCCCAAGUCUACAUGAGAUGGAACCCGUGCUUUCCCCUGAGUCUGAUCACAAGGGACCAAUCUGACAAAGCUAAAGGGAGGCAUUCUGUAAAGGAACUGCUCUGGGCCAACCACCAGCAUGCUCGCAUGAUUUAAGAAGAGGCUGGAGCUGUCACCAAGGAGACAGAGCAGCUCAGCACGCUUCUUCACCCCUCACUGGAAUCUAAGGACCAUCACCAGCAGUGAUGCCUGCUGAUGAUGUAGCACAGUACAAAGAUCCUGGGUUCAAUUCCUUGUACCACAAAAACUGAAGAAAAUAAGAAACCAAAUGAAAUCAAAAUACUGUAGUGUGGUAAUGCAGAUCAUGUCUUCUUUCUUAGAAGGUACUUGCUAAAAUAGAGAUUAAAAAAAGAAGCCAGGGCCAGGGAUGUAGCUGAGUGGCACAGCUCCUGCCUGACAAGUGCAAGGUCAUGAGUUCAGUUCCCAGUACAAAAAAAAAGAAAGAAGCUGGGCAUGGUGACACACGCCUGUAAUCCCAGCACUUGAGAGGCAGAGGCAGGAGGAUCAUUGCGAGUUCAAGACCAGCCUGGGCUACAAAGUGAGCUCAAGGCCAGCCUGAACUGCAUAGCGAGACCCUGUCAAAAAAAAACAACAACAACAAAAAAAACAAAAAAAAAAAAAAAGAGAGAGAGAUUAGAGAAAGAAAACAUAGGAAGGGUAUGGGGUCCUCUGUGCAGCUUUCCCAAAGGUUUGAAAUUUUAAAUUAAACUUCGUAGGGGUUGGAGGGAUAAAAGUAAAAAUCUCCUUAGUCCUUAUUGCAGUAACAUUCUUGUUGCUGAAGUUCGGAAACUUGUAAUAACUAUCAGUUCCCACAAGCACCAAUGUAAGGGUUGCAGUUGUAACAAGAGGCUGACACUGUAAAUGAAUUUGGUAUUAAUUAGGCUAUAACUAUAAACUCAUUAAACUGAUAAGACACAGAAUGUCGUCUGAUGAAAUCAGGAAUUUGUAUGAAACUGCCACAUCGCCCACUAUUCAUUUUAUUUUAUAUUUACCAGACAGGAUGUCACUGUAGCGUACAGGCUGCCCUCAAACUCCUGAUCUUUCUGCCUUGUCUCGAAUGUGCUGGAUUCAGCACACUGGCCUAGCCCACUCUUCCAGACCAGUUUUUUUUGUUUGUUUGUUUUUCUCCGGUACCGGGAACCGAACUCACGACCUUGCGCUUGCCAGGCAGGCGCUUUGCCGCUGAGCUAAAUCCCCAGCCCCUUAGACCAGUUUUAAGAGACUAAAAUCUGUGCAGCUGGGCACAGGAGCAGGCACAUUCGCUGCUCUGUUACCCUACAGCUGAGCCAAUGCCUGACAUUUUUUCUUUUUUGAGACAUGGUCUCACUACGUCGUAGUUCAGGCUGGCCUUAAACUCACUGUGUAGCCCAGGCUGGCCUCGAACCCUCAGCAAUCCUCUCCCUAAGCUUCAGCCUUCUGAGUACUGGGAUUACAGGCCUGUGCCACCUCACCUGGCCAAUGCCUGACUUUAUAACUGCCCUCUACAGCCUGUGAUUGGCAUGCCUGAGGGGAAAGCCAUGCAAUGUGUCCACUACGGAAGUCAAAGCCAUCGCAAUACAUUCUCGGGGCCUUUCCCAUUGCUCCAGGCAUGCUAGAAUUUUGUGGCAUGAAAUAUUUCUUGAAAUAGCUCAUAACUAUGAACUGCUGAUAUUUAUCACCUAAUUACCAAGGUCCCCACUAGAUCUCAGGAAUCUCCAUUUCCCCAGCCCGGCCGAGGUCAUGGGGUGAGGCCUCCAGUCUCUCCUGCGCCAUGUUGACAACAUCAGGUGGCCAGUGCUCAGCUACAGAGGGUUGGGGCAGAGAGGACUAUGGGAAAAGAUGCUUUGAGCACCCUAAGUUCAGCGCCAUGGUAACAAAUUCCUCUCCAGGAGAUGGUUGUGCCUACUUAUUUUUCUACCGAAGAUACUAUCUCCAUUGCUCAUUUCCAUGUCGCCUUCCCCCAGGUAUUUUCUAAGACCCUGGGGACCGGGUGGGUGACCCAGCUGAGGUUAGAGUAGGACAGGGCAGGAUGGGCGGUGCUCUCCAAACAAUUCUCCGAGUGCGCACUGCGCUCGGGCCCUGGAUCCCCCGGGGACCUCGAGGACAAUUCUGACGCCACUCAGGGCCCUGCUGGCGCUUUCCAGCGCGACCAGGGCGGGCUGGGUGUGGUCGGCCCCGGGGCCUCGGUGACGGCGGGAUGCAGCCUCAGUGUCCCCAGUCUGCGGGCAGGAAGGGAGGCAGAGACGAGAGGAGGGAAAGAGAGACGCAGGGAGAGGAGAGGGGCGAGGAAAGUGGCUGAGAGCCCGCCGUCCGCCCGCCUGCUGCGCCCCUCCCCGACGGGCCGGCGCUUCCCCAGCGCCGCCGCCAGCCGCAGACCGGACUGCGGCACCCGGCUGGGCUGUGGACAACCGUAGUGGUUGUCGUGGUCGCGGGGGCGCAGUCCUGGUCUCGGUCACACCAAGGGCCGUGGGCACCGGGCCGGGGCCCAGAGAGCCCUCAUAUCCCGCGGGCUGGAUGCAGACAGGAUUGGGGCUGGCCUGAAACUGGGCGCCCGGGGCCACUGCCGCGACUGAGCACCUGGUGGCGAGGUGCGGUUACACCUGGAUCGGUCAGCUUGGCCUCGCUGGGGCCACAUCCCUGACUCGCAGCUCAUGGGGAAAAGUUUGGUUUCGACUCACAUUUCAGUCCAAGGUCCGCGGGCUCCCAGGCAGGAACUACACGGGGAGUGGAGCUGCUGAACUCCUGAUAACCAGGAAGCAGCCAGCAGGAAGAGUCCGAGGAGACACCCCUUCCCAGGCCACCCCCAGUGACCUACUUCCUCCCUCGGCCCCACCUCCAGCAGCGCAGUCAGCUGCGAGGGCAGUGCCCCAGGACCGCACCACCUUCCAGGACGCCAGCUCUGACCACACAGCCCUUGGGAUGGUUUUGACUCCAACCUAACUCGACCCUUCUUCCCAAGGCGGCACCCGAGGGAGCCAGGGGACGAGUGUCCGGCCUAGUGUGCAGUAACUAAAUGGCAGAGCUGGGGUGGGAACCCAGGGCGUUUCUCUGCCCGCCCUGCCCUAGGUGAGGGAAGUGUGUACUGGAACCAGGCUUAGAAAUCUGGGUAGAAGCUGAUGGCUGGAGGUCCCUGACCACCUUUGGCUCUAGCUAGCUUCUAGGACCUGGAGAAGACUCACAAUCCACCCCUAGUCAGUUUUCCAGCCAAAC